rnacentral:rRNA from 1 species
UACGAAGGGGGCUAGCGUUGUUCGGAAUUACUGGGCGUAAAGCGCACGUAGGCGGACUCUUAAGUCGGUGGUGAAAUCCUGGAGCUCAACUCCAGAACUGCCUUCGAUACUGGGAGUCUCGAGUUCGGGAGAGGUGAGUGGAACUGCGAGUGUAGAGGUGAAAUUCGUAGAUAUUCGCAAGAACACCAGUGGCGAAGGCGGCUCACUGGCCCGAUACUGACGCUGAGGUGCGAAAGCGUGUGGAGCAAACAGG